GACGAACGCUGGCGGCGUGCCUAAUACAUGCAAGUCGAACGCAGUGGGGACGGGUGAGUAACACGUGGGUAAGCUCCCAUCAGAGGGGAUAACACUUGGAAACAGGUGCUAAACCGGUACUGAUGGAUGGACCCGAGGUGCAUUAGCUAGUUGGUGAGGUAACGGCUCACCAAGGCCACGAUGCAUAGCCGACCUGAGAGGGUGAUCGGCCACACUGGAACUGAGACACGGCCCAGACUCCUACGGGAGGCAGCAGUAGGGAAUCGUCGGCAAUGGACGAAAGUCUGACCCAGCAACGCCGCGUGUGUGAAGAAGGUUUUCGGAUCGUAAAGCUCUUUUUGUAGAGAGGCGGUAUCUAACCAGAAAGCCCCGGCUAACUACGUGCCAGCAGCCGCGGUAAUAC
rnacentral:rRNA from 1 species